rnacentral:rRNA from 1 species
AGAAUUUGAUCCUGGUUCAGAUUGAAUGCUGACGGCGUGGAUGAGGCAUGCAAGUCGAACGAGACUUUGGGGCAACUCAAAGUUUAGUGGCGAAAGGGUUAGUAAUACAUGGGUAACUUACCCUUAACUCGGGAAUAACGACUGGAAAUGGUCGCUAAUACCGGAUGAAGUGACGUUGAGGGAUCUUGAUGUCAUGAAAGUGGGGGACCUUCGGGCCCUGCGGUUAAGGAGAGGCUCAUGGGAUAUCAGCUAGUUGGUGUGGUAAAAGCGCACCAAGGCAAAGACGUCUAGGCGGAUUGAGAGAUUGACCGCCAACAUUGGGACUGAGACACUGCCCAGACUCUUACGGGAGGCUGCAGUCGAGAAUCAUUCGCAAUGGGCGAAAGCCUGACGAUGCGACGCCGUGUGAGCGAAGAAGGCCUUCGGGUUGUAAAGUUCUUUCGCCUGGGAACAAGAGAAGUUGGUGAAUAGCCAGCUGAUUUGAGGGUACCAGGUAAAGAAGCACCGGCUAACUCCGUGCCAGCAGCCGCGGUAAUACGGAGGGUGCAAGCAUUAAUCGGAUUUAUUGGGCGUAAAGGGCGCGUAGGCGGGGAUACAAGUCAGGUGAGAAAUUCCGGAGCUCAACUUCGGAACUUAGCUUGAAACUGUAUCUCUAGAGGAUAGGCGAGGAAAAUGGAAUUCCGCAAGUAGCGGUGGAAUGCGUAGAUAUGCGGAGGAACACCUGUGGCGAAAGCGAUUUUCCAGCUUAUUCCUGACGCUGAGGCGCGAAAGCAAGGGGAGCAAACAGGAUUAGAUACCCUGGUAGUCCUUGCUGUAAACGAUGUAUACUUGGUGCAUCCGGACUCAACCCCGGGUGUGUCGAAGCUAACGUGAUAAGUAUACCGCCUGAGUAGUACGCUCGCAAGAGUGAAACUCAAAAGAAUUGACGGGGACCCGCUCAAGCAGUGGAACAUGUGGUUUAAUUCGAUGCAACGCGAAGAACCUUACCCAGGCUUGACAUGCAGUGGCCAGCGCUAGAAAUAGCGUUUUCCUUCGGGACUGCUGCACAGGUGCUGCAUGGCUGUCGUCAGCUCGUGCCGUGAGGUGUUGGGUUAAGUCCCGCAACGAGCGCAACCCCUAUUAUUAGUUGCCAGCAUUUCGGAUGGGGACUCUAAUAAGACUGCCUGGGUUAACCAGGAGGAAGGUGGGGAUGACGUCAAGUCCGCAUGGCCCUUAUGUCUGGGGCUACACACGUGUUACAAUGGUCGAUACAGAGGGUAGCGAGACCGCGAGGUGGAGCAAAUCCCUAAAGUCGAUCCCAGUUCGGAUUGGAGUCUGCAAUUUGACUCCAUGAAGUUGGAAUUGCUAGUAAUGGCGUGUCAGCAACAACGCCGUGAAUACGUUCCCGGGUCUUGUACACACCGCCCGUCACAUCAUGGGAGUUGGUUUUACCCGAAGUCGCUGACUUAACCGUAAGGGGAGAGGCGCCUAAGGUGAGGCUGGUAACUAGGAUGAAGUCGUAACAAGGUA